GCCCUGUGAUGAGACCAAGGCGAAUGCGAACUCGCUGGUUAAGAGCCUGAGUUCCUCUCCUGUGUUCCUAUUGGCUGGUAAUCUUGGCUGAGCAGUUGAGAUUUGCUGCUUUGCUGUAAGGGCCUGCCUAUAUUAAACAUAGCCCCUCCCCUCAAACUCUCUCUCUCUGAGAGAAAUGCAGAAGAGAGAGAUGGGAAGGGUGGUCAGUGGGUGUGUGAAUGUGUGUGUGGGGACACAGGACAAGUCUCAGGUCUCUGUAAUGUCCAGUGGGUUGUGAGCUGCUUCUUUAAUAAUCUGAGGGCU